rnacentral:rRNA from 1 species
GACAGAGGUGCCGAGCGUUAGGCGGAAUCACUGGGCUUAAAGCGUGUGUAGGCGGACCGUUAAGUACCUUGUGAAAUCCCACGGCUCAACCGUGGAACGGCUGGGUAUACUGGCGGUCUUGAGCCACCUAGGGGCAGAUGGAACAGACGGAGGAGCGGUGAAAUGCGUAGAUAUCGUCUGGAACGCCAAUGGUGAAAACAGUCUGCUGGGGGUGUGCUGACGCUGAGACACGAAAGCCAGGGGAGCAAACGGG